rnacentral:rRNA from 1 species
AUACGUAAGUGGCAAACGUUGUCCGGAAUCACUGGGCGUAAAGAGCACGUAGGCGGCCAGGUAAGUCGAAGGUGAAAUCCAGGGGCUCAACCCCUGAACUGCCUUGGAAACUGCUUGGCUAGAGGUUCGGAGGGGAAAGUGGAAUUCCGGGUGUAGCGGUGAAAUGCGCAGAUAUCCGGGAGAACACCGAUGGCGAAGGCAGCUUUCUGGCCGGAUCCUGACGCUGAGGUGCGAAAGCCAGGGUAGCGAACGGAAUUAGAUACCCGAGUAGUCC